rnacentral:rRNA from 1 species
AUGUAUUAUUACGAGAUCAAUUUUCAUGAUCUAUCCCCCAAUUGCUUCCUCAACAUCUCGACAUUCAUUGUUGUGUGCGAGACUUUUCUCCACAUCCCGCCACACUUCGGCUUAUGGCUGAAGAUCUUUAAUGUGAAGCCCAAGGUAGUGGACGGUGAGCACGCUGAGUGCGGGGGCGCUAUGGUGAGCAAGAUGCCCAACAUCACAUGGACAACAAGUACCUUCAAUGAUUCCGUCAGGGAGUGGCACUGGAGUGGUUUUACAUUACUGAGCCGCGCGGCGCGAAGUGGGCCGCUGCUCCCGAGUUCCGAUCCGGAGCCCCUCUACGGCUCACGUCCUAGCUCAAGAAGGGUCUGGACUGGUCUUCAUCUGACGAACUAUUGGCGCUCCAGACGCUUGUCAAGGAUAUGGACGACAAGAAUAUCAAACUUGUCAAUGUAG